ACAAAAAAAGUUAUUUUUCUGUGAAAGUUUAUGCAAGCACAUAGAACAUGAACACAUACCCAUGCCAUCUUUUCGGAUAUUUUUACCAUUUAGAAAUGUAUUUUUCAAAGUGGGUUCAUAUGUAUCCGGAUUCAUCCAUGCUCUUCCCCACGAAGCUAGACCAAUUGUCAGCUCUAUUGAGCUGGGUUCAUUUGUUACAAAUGAAUAGUAUUGUUUACAGAUUUAGUGAAGAGAUUGUUCAAUUCAUUGUACUCAACUAACCUUAGUGCAUAUAAGGCACCUCCGUCCCCAUUAGAGCAGAGAAUAAUAUCUUGAGUAAAAUUUGUUUCAAACCUUUAACUUGAGGUGCUAGUCUAAAUUGAACCUCAUCUCCUAACACCUAAAAAUCAGCACCCUACGAAUGGAAUUCAAAGAGAUAAUUACACCUACGGUCCUCGUAUUCUUCGGCAUGUAACACAACGGUCUCGGGACUCGCGGAAUGCUCCACUACGGUCCUCAAAUACGAGGAUUCGCUCCAAUACGGUCCUGGCUACGUCUCACUCUAUGCCUCGCGCCCAGCCAGGUGCCACGUCAGUGUACAGUAGAUGCAUGGGCCCCCAUGUCAGCAUAGGAGAGAGAAAAAAAGGGAAAACAAAAUGCUACGCCGAGGAUCGAACUCGAGACCCCUGCGUAAGAGAGCAACCGAUCUAGCCACCACGCCGACAUGUCAAUGACGUACAACUGGCAGCAAAAACAAAUUGGAGCAACUAUACAUAUCGCUCGCUUAUAACAGGGCCGGCCCAGUAGCGUAUCUCUAUUUCUUUUUUCUCGAAUCUUCAAGCGAUUUUCCUGUGCAUUUCUUACCGGUUUUCUUUUUAAUUUUCCCCAGGUUUAUGUUUAUUUUCCCCAUAUAAAAAUAAAAUAAUUAUAAAUAUACAAUUAUUUUCUAUUUUAAAUCUUUAUUCUAUUUUCAUUAUUGUGUGCCUUGAAGACAUAAACAUUAGCUUUUUCUAAAAUUUAUAUGGAUUUAAAUAAAAUAAAUUAUAAGAAAAUUUAUGUAUCUUCAUUCAUGACCACAAACACGCAUUAUUUUGUAUCCUCAUUGUAUUAACAUACAUAAUAAUUUUAAAAAUUAACAAAGUAUAUUUUGAAUAAUGUUCAGCAUGGUUUUGGAAAAUGGUUAUCAUUUUGCCCUAUUAUAUGCCCAAUGACCGGUUUUAUUUUUAUCUCUUCCAGUUUAAAAAAAGAAAUGUAAGAAGAAAUUACAAUAAUUACUAAUAAACAAUUAUUGUGUAUUUUAAUAUUCAUUGUGUUUUCCUUAUUGAGUAACUUGAAGAGGUAAACAUGUUUUUUUUAAUUUACUUUAAUAUAAAAACCGGUAGUCGGGCAUAUAAUUGGGCAAAAAUAUAACCAUUUUGUGACACCAUGCUGAAUAUAAUUCAAAAAUACACGUUGCCAAUUUUUCAAAUAUUUGUGUAUUUUAAAUAUACAAUGAAGAUACACAAUAAUUGCGCGUGUUUGUGGUCCUGAAUGAACAUACAUAAAUUUUUAUGACAUUUUUUUAAAUCCACAUAAAUUUUGGAAAAAGUUCAUGUUUACGUCUUCAAGGUACAAAUUAAUGAAAAUAUAAUAAAUAUUUAAAAUACACAAUAAAUGUAUUCUUUUAUAUGGAAAAAAUGAAGUUUAAAAAUAGAAAGAUAAAAUAAACACGAACUUGGUAAAAAAAAGGAUAGAAUAUGCAUCAGGAAAAUCACUUGAAGAUUAAAAAAAGGGGGUACGGUAUGCUACUAGGCCGGACCAAUUAUAUGAAAAUAAAUUAAAGAUUUAAAAUACACAGAAAUUGUAUAUUAAUAAUGAUUAUAUUUUUAUAUGGGAAAAUUAAACAUAAGCAUGGGUAAAAAUAAAAAUGAAACCGGUAGGCAACGUACAGGAAAAUCGCUGGAAGAUUCGAAAAAAGUAGAAGAGAUACGCUACGCUACUGGGCCGGGUCAGUAUGUGCGCAAGCGAAAGCUAGCGAUAUAUGGAACUGCUCUAUAUAGCUUCCUAGCUGAUACGUGAACAGACCCUCAAAAAAAAAAACUGAUACGUGAACACGAUGGAUAGGUUGGCCUUGUGGCCAGCUCGUCUGUUCGCUUUUCUGGAGGUCUCAUGUUCGAUCCUCCGCCUAGCAUUCUGUGCAUCUGGCUGGGCGCGAGGCGUAGAGUGAGACAUAGCCAGAAUCAUAUUGGAGCGUAUCCUCGUAUUUGAGGACUGUAGUGGAGCAUUCCGCGAGUUUCAGGGUCAUUGUGUUACAUGCCGGAGAGUAUGAGGACUGUAGGUGUAAUUAUCUCGAAUUCAAACGAUAGUUCAAUAACUUUGUCAGAGUUCUCCUCAUGCAAGUUGUAAAGAUUUGAUGGAAAACUUGUGUUCUAUUGAUUCUGGGCAAAGCCCUAUUUAUACAAGGAUUUGGGGCGCCUCCGGAGAGGCGUCCGUUUACAAGCGCCCGUGGCGCGAGAAGACGCAUGUACGGACGUUCGCGUCCGUACGGUGUUUUGGACACACGUGAUGACUCUUAGUGCUAAUGACGUCGCUUUAUUCUUAACACUUCCCCUUGUACAAAGCUGCUUCUUCUAUGUCUUGUAUCCUUGUAUAACUUUGAGAAUAUUGCUCUUAAUCACAAGCGUAUAUGAUCUUGAAUAACUCCUCCAAAAACCCUGUGGGAAAAAUAUGAGAAGAAUAGAACUUGAUAUGUUGUUAAAACUCCAUUAAAACCCAGUAGGAAAAAUAAGAAGAAAAUGUUACAACAUAUGUUAUCGUCUCUUUGAUAACUUAUAUGAGAAAACCUUGAGGAUAAAACUCAUUGGUAUGUUUAGAGGACAAUUAAUAUGUCUUGUAUACACUCAUUAAAAACCCCGGUGGAGAAAAAUAGGAUGUAUGACAUAUAUUCUUAUGUUGAUAUUACCUCAUUAAAAACCUUGAUGAGAACCAUGAGAGUAAACUCAUAAAGGGAAAAAGAGUGCAAUAUAAUGUUUGAACAGGUUAUGAUUCAGAGAAGCUCUCCCCCUAAUCUCUGCAAAUCUCGAAGUCGUCACAUACCAAUCCCAUGAACAUAUUUUUCAAAUGUUGAAGCUGAGAGCGACUUUGUGAAUAGAUCAGUUAGAUUAUCGCAUGAUUUGACUUGCAAAAUGUUUAUCUUCCCUUUCUUUUGUAAUUGAUGGGGAAAAAAUAAUUUAGGAGAAAUAUGCUUAGUGAUAUUGCUCUUUAUGUAACCUGUUUGUAUUUGAGCAACACAAGCUGCAUUAUCUUCGUAGAUAAUGGUUGGACAUUCGAUAGAACCUUUACCACAUGAUUUUUGUAUGUGGUUUAUCAUUCUGCGAAGCCAUACACAUUCAUGUGUUGCCUCAAAUAAAGAGAUUAUUUCAGAAUGAUUGGUGGAUGUAGCCACUAGAGUAUGUUUGGAAGACUUCCAUGAUAUGGCUGUCCCACCAUGUAGGAACACAAAACCAGUUUGUGAUCUGGCAUUGUGGGGGUCAGAUAAGUAGCCAGCAUCAACAUACCCAAUCAUAUCAAUGUCCAAAUUUCUCUGAAAUUGAAAGAAUAGGCCAAGAUCCUUUGUGCCUUGGAGAUAUCGAAAGAUAUUCUUAACUCCCGUCCAAUGGCGUUUAGUAGGAGCUGCGCUCUGUCUAGCUAGUAAAUUCACUGCAAAUGCAAUAUCAGGCCUGGUGCAAUUUGCAAGAUACAUGAGUGCUCCAAUGGCACUGAGAUAUGGAACUUCAGGUCCUAAUAUCUCUUCUCCAUUAUCCAUUGGUCUAAAUUGAUCUUUCUCUACGUCUAGAGAUCGAACUACCAUAGGAGUUUUGGAUGGAUAGGAUUCGUCCAUAUUGAAUUUCUCCAAUAUUUUCUGGAUAUAUGCGGUUUGAUGAACCAAAAUACCCGAGGGAAGGUGCUCAAGUUGUAAUCCUAAGCAAAAUUUGGUUUUACCCAAAUCCUUCAUCUCAAAUUCCGUCUUUAGGUGAUUGCGUGCUUCAUCAAUAUCUUGUGUGGUUCCAAUGAUGUUCAGAUCAUCAACAUACAUAGAAAUAAUGCAAAAUCCAGUUGUGGACUUUUUUAUGAAAACACAUGGGCAAUCAUCAUUAUUGUAGUAUCCUUUUUUCAAAAGGAACUCACUAAGUCGGUUGUACCACAUGCGACCCGACUGUUUUAAGCCGUAUAAAGACUUAUUUAGUUUUACACAAUAUGCGUUGUGUUUUGCGUUUGGAUUCGGGAUUGGGACUCCAUCAGGAACCUUCAUGUAUAUGUCUGAAUCAAGUGAACCGUAAAGGUAAGCGGUUACUACGUCCAUCAACUGCAUAGAUAGACAAUUUUGCACUGCCAAAGAUAUAAGAUAUCGGAAAGUGGUUGCAUUCAUUACUGGAGAAUAUGUUUUAGUGAAAUCAAUGUCGGGUUUCUGCGUGAAACCUUGUGCUACGAGCCUUGCUUUGUAUCUCACCACCUCGUUGUUCUCGUUUCUUUUAUGAACAAAAACCCAUUUGAAUCCCAUGGGGAAAACUCUGGGAGGUGUAGGUAUUGCUUUAGUGAAUACCUUUUGUUUAUUGAGCGAGGCUAAUUCUGCUUGGAUUGCAUCCUUCCAUUUAGGCCAGUCGGAGCAUUUCUUGCACUUUGACAUGGUCUUUGGAUCAUGAUCAGUGAGAAGGGUAUCUGCAAUCUUUUCAGCAAAAUAUAUGUCGACAGUCGUAGUCUUACGGUCAAAUGAUUCUCCAGAAUCAACGUAGUUGAUAGAAAUUUCCUGCACCCUUAGUGACUCUUCGUGAUUUCCCAAUACGAUUGAGUCUGGGUGUUCCGAUGUCCUAGUUAGUUUGUGCACAACUGAGCUGGGUUGUGGAGGUUGUUCUUCCACUGGGUGUAUAUUACCCAUUUGAUGAUUAUCAACACUAGGUUGGUUUAGAUUUACUGGUUCGGAGAGUUUCUUUCUCUGUUUCCUUCGUUGCUUGUGAGGAGCUGAAUCCUGUUCCGUGGCCGUACUUCUACCCCUCUUCCUUUGAACAGGGGGUUGAGUAGUUUUGGUUGGUACCUCCACUCUUUCAGGCGCGUUUUUAGCAGGAUUGUAGGAUUUGGUAACACCUUUAUGUUGGGGAACGUAGCAGAAAUUCAAAAUUUUCCUACGUAUCACCAAGAUCUAUCUAUGGAGAAACCAGCAACGAGGGGAAGGAGAGUGCAUCUACAUACCCUUGUAGAUCGCUAAGCGGAAGCGUUCAAGUGAACGGGGUUGAAGGAGUCGUACUCGUCGUGAUCCAAAUCACCGGAGAUCCUAGUGCCGAACGGACGGCACCUCCGCGUUCAACACACGUACAGCCCGGUGACGUCUCCCACGCCUUGAUCCAGCAAGGAGAGAGGGAGAGGUUGAGGAAGACUCCAUCCAACAGCAGCACAACGGCGUGGUGGUGGUGGAGGAGCGUGGCAAUCCAGCAGGGCUUCGCCAAGCACCACGGGAGAGGAGGAGGAGGAGAGGCAGGGCUGCACUAAGAGGGAGAAGUUCUCAUGUGUUUAGCAGCCCCAAACCUCAACUAUAUAUAGGGGGAAGGGGGGGCUGCGCCCCCUUUAGGGUUUCCCACCCCAAGGGGUGCGGCCAAGGGGGGAGGAGUGCCUCCCAAGUCAAGUGGAGGCCUCCCCCUUUAGGGUUUCCCCCUUCCCAUGCGCAUGGGCCUUGGGGGGCUGGUUCCCUUGGCCCAUAAAGGCUAGGGCGCCCCCUUACAGCCCAUGCUACUGUAUUGGACGUGGUGGAACAAUUUCCGGACCUCCGGACCCCUCCGGAAUCCUCCGGAACCUUCUGGAAGCUUCCCGGUACAAUACCGAAAAAACCCGAACUUUUUCCAGAACCCGAACAACAACUUUCCAUAUAUAAAUCUUUACCUCCGGACCAUUCCGGAACUCCUCGUGACGUCCGGGAUCUCAUCUGGGACUCCGAACAACAUUCGGUAACCACAUACAAACUUCCUUUAUAACCCUAGCGUCAUCGAACCUUAAGUGUGUAGACCCUACGGGUUUGGGAGACAUGCAGACAUGACCGAGACGUUCUCCGGUCAAUAACCAACAGCGGGAUCUGGAUACCCAUGUUGGCUCCCACAUGUUCCACGAUGAUCUCAUCGGAUGAACCACGAUGUCAAGGACUCAAUCGAUCCCGUAUACAAUUCCCUUUGUCUAGCGGUAUUUUACUUGCCCGAGAUUCGAUCGUCGGUAUACCGAUACCUUGUUCAAUCUCGUUACCGACAAGUCUCUUUACUCGUUUCCGUAACACAUCAUCCCGUGAUCAACCCCUUGGUCACAUUGUGCACAUUAUGAUGAUGUCCUACCGAGUGGGCCCAGAGAUACCUCUCUGUUUACACGGAGUGACAAAUCCCAGUCUUGAUUCGUGCCAACCCAACAGACACUUUCGGAGAUACCUGUAAUGCACCUUUAUAGCCACACAGUUACGUUGUGACGUUUGGUACACCCAAAGCAUUCCUACGGUAUCCGGGAGUUGCACAAUCUCAUGGUCUAAGGAAAAGAUACUUGACAUUAGAAAAGCUUUAGCAUACGAACUACACGAUCUUUAUGCUAGGCUUAGGAUUGGGUCUUGUCCAUCACAUCAUUCUCCUAAUGAUGUGAUCCCGUCAUCAAUGACAUCCAAUGUCCAUGGUCAGGAAACCGUGACCAUCUAUUGAUUAACGAGCUAGUCAACUAGAGGCUCACUAGGGACAUGGUGUUGUCUAUGUAUCCACACAUGUAUCUGAGUUUCCUAUUAAUACAAUUAUAGCAUGUAUAAUAAAGGAUUAUCAUGAACAAGGAAAUAUAAUAAUAACACUUUUAUUAUUGCCUCUAGGGCAUAUUUCCAACAGUCUCCCACUUGCACUAGAGUCAAUAAUCUAGUUCACAUCGCCAUGUGAUUAACAUUCACAGGUCACAUCACCAUGUGACCAAGACUCAAUGAGUUCUGGGGUUUGAUCAUGUUCUGCUUGUGAGAGAGGUUUUAGUCAACGGGUCUGAACCUUUCAGAUCCGUGUGUGCUAUACAAAUCUCUAUGUCAUCUCCUAGAUGUAGCUACCACGUUCUAUUUGGAGCCAUUCCAAAUAACUGUUCCACUUGGAGCUAUUCUAAAUUGUUGCCCCAUUAUACGUAUCCGGUAUCUCUACUUAGAGCUAUCCGGAUAGGUGUUAAGCUUGCAUCGACGUAACCUUUACGACGAACUCUUUUACCACCUCCAUAAUCGAGAAAAUUCCUUAGUCCACUAGUUACUAAGGAUAACUUUGACCGCUGUCUGUGAUCCAUUCUUGGAUCACUCUUGUACCCCUUGACUAACUCAUGGCAAGGCACACUUCAGGUGCGGUACACAGCAUAGCAUACUGUAGAGCCUAUGUCUUAAGCAUAGGAGACGACCUUCGUCCUUUCUCUCUAUUCUGCCAUGGUCGAGCUUUAAGUCUUAACUUCGUACCUUACAACUCAGGCAAGAACUUCUUCUUUGACUGAUCCAUCUUGAACACCUUCAAGAUCAUGUCAAGGUAUGUGCUCAUUUGAAAGUACCAUUAAGCGUUUUGAUCCAUCCUCAUAGAUCUUGAUGCUCAAUGUUCAAGUAGCUUAUUCCAGAUUUUCUAAUGAAAAACACCUUUCAAAUAACCCUAUAUGCUUUCUAGAAAUUCUACAUCAUUUCUGAUCAUCAAUAUGUCAACAACAUAUACUCAUCAGAAAUUCUAUAGUGCUCCCACUCACUUCUUUGGAAAUACAAGUUUCUCAUAAACUUUGUAUAAACCCAAAAUCUUUGAUCAUCUUAUCAAAGUGCACAUUCCAACUCCGAGAUGCUUACUCCAGUCCUUAGAAGGAUUGCUGGAGCCAGCAUACCUUUUAGCAUCCUUAGGAUCGACAAAACUUUUCUGAUUGUAUCACAUACAACCUUUCCUUACAAAAACUGGUAAGGAAACUCGUUUUGACAUCCAUCUGCCAGAUUUCAUAAAUGCAGCUAAUGCUAACAUGAUUCUGACGGACUUAAGCAUCGCUACGGAUGAGAAAACCUCAUCGUAGUCAACUCCUUGAACUUGUGAAAAACUCUUCGCCACAAGUCGAGCUUCAUAGACGGUGACAUUACCGUCCACGUCCGUCUUCUUCUUAAAGAUUCAUUUAUCUCAAUGGCUUGCCGAUCAUCGGGCAAGUCCACCAAAGUCCAUGCUUUGUUCUGAUACAUGGAUCCGAUCUCGGAUUUCAUGGUUUCUAACCAUUUGUCGGAAUUUGGGCCCACCAUCGCUUCUCCAUAGCUCGUAGGUUCAUUGUUGUCUAGCAACAUGACCUUCAAGACAGGAUUACUGUACCACUCUGAAGUAGUACGUAUCCUUGUCACCCUACGAGGUACGGCAGUGACUUGAUCCGAAACUUCAUGAUCACUAUCAUAAGCUUCUACUUCAAUUGGUGUAGGUGCCACAUGAACAACUUCCUAUGCCCUGAUACACACUGGUUGAAGUGAUGGUUCAAUAACCAUACCAAGUCUCCACCAUCCUCCCACUCAACUCUUUCGAGAGAAACCUUUCCUCGAGAAAGGACCCGAUUCAAGAAACAAUCCAUAUUGCUUUCGGAUCUGAAUUAGGAGGUAUACCCAACUGUUUUGGGUGUCCUAUGAAGAUGUAUUUUAUCCGCUUUGGGUUCGAGCUUAUCAGUCCUGAAACUUUUUCACAUAAGCGUCGCAGCCCCAAACCUUUAAGAAACGACAACUUAGGUUUCUCUAAACCGGUGUCGUCUCAAUGGAAUUACGUGGUGCCUUAUUUAAAGUGAGUGUGGGUGUCUCUAAUGCCUAACCCAUGAACGAUAGUGGUAAUUCGAUAAGAGACAUCAUGGUACACACCAUAUCCAAUAGGGUGCAACUACGAUGUUCGGACACACCAUCAAACUAUGGUGUUCCAGGUGGUAUUAAUUGUGAAACAAUUUCCACAAUGUCUUAAUUGCGUGCCAAAACUCGUAACUCAGAUAUUCAUCUCUAUGAUCAUAUCCUAGACAUUUUAUCCUCUUGUCACAAUGAUCUUCUACUUCACUCUGAAAUUACUUGAACCAUUCAAUAAUUCAGACUUGUGUUUCAUCAAGAAAAUAUUCUCAACAUCUACUCGAAUCAUCUGUGAAGUAAGAACAUAACGAUAUUCACUGCAUGCCUCAGCACUCAUUGGACUGCACACAUCAAAAAUGUGUUGCUUCCAACAAGUUGCUAUCUUGUUCCAUUUUACUGAAACCGAGGUUUUUCAGUCAUCUUGCCUAUGUGGUAUGAUUUGCAUAUCUCAAGUGAUUCAAAAUCAAGUGACUCCAAACGAUCCAUCUGCAUGGAGUUUCUUCAUGCAUAUACACCAAUAGACAUGAUUCGCAUGUCUCAAACUUUUCAAAAACGAGUGAGUCCAAAGAUCCAUCAACAUGGAGCUUCUUCAUGCGUUUUAUACCAUUAUGACUUACAUGGUAGUGCCACAAGUAAGUGGUACUAUCAUUACUAUCUUAUAUCUUUUGGCAUGAAAAUGUGUAUCACUACAAUCGAGAUUCAAUAAACCAUUCAUUUUAGGUGCAAGACCAUUGAAGGUAUUAUUCAAAUAAAUAGAGUAACCAUUAUUCUCUUUAAAUGAAUAACCGUAUUGCGAUAGUCAUAAUCCAAUCAUGCCUAUGCUCAACGCAAACACCAAAUAACAAUUAUUUAGGUUUAACACCAAUCUCGUUGGUAGAGGGAGCGUGCGAUGCUUGAUCACAUCAAGCUUGGAAAAACUUCCAACACAUAUCGUCAGCUCACCUUUAGCUAGUCUCCGUUUAUUCCGUAGCUUUUAUUUCGAGUUACUAAUACUUAGCAACCGAACCGGUAUCUUAUAUCCUGGUGCUACUGGGAGUACUAGUAAAGUACACAUUAACAUAAUGUAUAUCCAAUAUACUUCUAUCGACCUUGCCAGCCUUCUAAUCUACCAAGUAUCUAGGGUAAUUCUGCUCUAGUGACUAUUCCCCUUAUCACAGAAGCACUUAGUCUCGGGUUUGGGUUCAACCUUGGGUUUCUUCACUAGAGCAGCAACUGAUUUGUCGUUUCAUGAAGUAUCCCUUCUUGCCCUUGCCCUUCUUGAAACUAGUGGUUUCACCAACCAUCAACAAUUUGAUGCUCCUUCUUGAUUUCUACUUUCGCGGUGUCAAACAUCGUGAAUACCUCAAGGAUUAUCAUAUCUAUCCCUGGUAUGUUAUAGUUCAUCACGAAGCUCUAGCAGCUUGGUGGCAAUGACUUUGGAGAAACAUCACUAUCUCAUCUGGAAGAUCAACUCCCACUCGAUUCAAGUGAUUGUCGCACUCAGACAAUCUGAGCACAAGCUCAACGAUUGAGCUUUUCUCCCUUAGUUUGCAGGCUAAGAAAAUCGUCGGAGGUCUCAUACCUCUUGACGUGGGCACGAGCCUGAAAUCCCAAUUUCAGCCCUUGAAACAUCUCAUAUGUUCCGCGAUGUUUCGAAAACGUCUUUAGUGCCUCAACUCUAAACCGUUCAACUGAACUAUCACGUAGUUAUCAAAACGUGUAUGUCCGAUGUUCACAACAUCCACAAACGACGUUUGGGGUUCAGCACACUGAGCAGUGCAUUAAGGACAUAAGCUUUCUACUGUCCGCAUAAUUGCUACUUUCAACUUUCAACUAUAUUUUCUCUAGGAACAUAUCUAAAACAGUAGAACUAAAGUGCGAGCUACGACAUAAUUUGCAAAAUCCUUUUGACUAUGUUCAGAUAAUUAAGUUCAUCUUAUGAACUCCCACUCAGAUAGACAUCCCUCUGGUCAUCUAAGUGAUUACAUGAUCCGAGUCAACUAGGUCGUGUCCGAUCAUCACGUGAGACGGACUAGUCAUCAUCGGUGAACAUCUUCAUGUUGAUCGUAUCUACUAUACGACUCAUGCUCGACCUUUCGGUCUCCGUGUUCCGAGGCCAUGUCUGUACAUGCUAGGCUCGUCAAGUUAACCCUAAGUGUUUUCGCUGUGUAAAACUGUCUUACACCCGUUGUAUGUGAACGUAAGAAUCCAUCACACCCGAUCAUCACGUGGUGCUUAGAAGCGACGAACUGUAGCAACGGUGCACAGUUAGGGGAGAACACUUCUUGAAAUUUUGUAAGGGGUCAUCUUAUUUACUAUCGUCGUCCUAAGUAAACAAGAUGCAUAAUCAUAAUAAACAUCACAUGCAAUUAUAUAGUUGUGACAUGAUAUGGCCAAUAUCAUAUAGCUCCAUUGAUCUCCAUCUUCGGGGCUCCAUGAUCAUCUUGUCACCGGCUUGACACCAUGAUCUCCAUCAUCGUGUCUUCAUGAAGUUGUCACGCCAACGACUACUUCUACUUCUAUGGCUAACGCGUUUAGCAAUAAAGUAAAGUAAGUUACAUGGCGUUAUUCAAUGACAUGCAGGUCAUACAAUAAAUUAAGACAACUCUUAUGGCUCCUGCCGGUUGUCAUACUCAUCGACAUGCAAAUCGUGAAUCCUAUUACAAGAACAUGAUCAAUCUCAUACAUCACAUAUCAUUCAUCCCAUUCUUCUUGGCCAUAUCACAUCACAUAGCAUACCCUGCAAAAACAAGUUAGACGUCCUCUAAUUGUUGUUUGCAUGUUUAACGUGGCUGCUAUGGGUUUCUAGCAAGAACGUUUCUUACCUACGCAAGACCACAACGUGAUAUGCCAAUUGCUAUUUACCCUUCAUAAGGACCCUUUUCAUCGAAUCCGUUCCGACUAAAGUGGGAGAGACUGGCACCCGCUAGCCACCUUAUGCACCAAGUGCAUGUCAGUCGGUGGAACCUGUCUCACGUAAGAGUACGUGUAAGGUCGGUCCGGGCCGCUUCAUCCCACAAUACCGUCGAAACAAUAUUGGACUAGUAACGGUAAGCAUAUUGAACAACAUCAACGCCCACAACUACUUUGUGUUCUACUCGUGCAAAGAAUCUACGCAAUAGACCUAGCUCUGAUACCACUGUUGGGGAACGUAGCAGAAAUUCAAAAUUUUCCUACGUAUCACCAAGAUCUAUCUAUGGAGAAACCAGCAACGAGGGGAAGGAGAGUGCAUCUACAUACCCUUGUAGAUCGCUAAGCGGAAGCGUUCAAGUGAACGGGGUUGAAGGAGUCGUACUCGUCGUGAUCCAAAUCACCGGAGAUCCUAGUGCCGAACGGACGGCACCUCCGCGUUCAACACACGUACAGCCCGGUGACGUCUCCCACGCCUUGAUCCAGCAAGGAGAGAGGGAGAGGUUGAGGAAGACUCCAUCCAACAGCAGCACAACGGCGUGGUGGUGGUGGAGGAGCGUGGCAAUCCAGCAGGGCUUCGCCAAGCACCACGGGAGAGGAGGAGGAGGAGAGGCAGGGCUGCACUAAGAGGGAGAAGUUCUCAUGUGUUUAGCAGCCCCAAACCUCAACUAUAUAUAGGGGGAAGGGGGGGCUGUGCCCCCUUUAGGGUUUCCCACCCCAAGGGGUGCGGCCAAGGGGGGAGGAGUGCCUCCCAAGUCAAGUGGAGGCCUCCCCCUUUAGGGUUUCCCCCUUCCCAUGCGCAUGGGCCUUGGGGGGCUGGUUCCCUUGGCCCAUAAAGGCUAGGGCGCCCCCUUACAGCCCAUGCUACUGUAUUGGAUGUGGUGGAACAAUUUCCGGACCUCCGGACCCCUCCGGAAUCAUCCGGAACCUUCUGGAAGCUUCCAAGUACAAUACCGAAAAAACCCGAACUUUUUCUGGAACCCGAACAACAACUUUCCAUAUAUAAAUCUUUACCUCCGGACCAUUCCGGAACUCCUUGUGACGUCCGGGAUCUCAUCCGGGACUCCGAACAACAUUCGGUAACCACAUACAAACUUCCUUUAUAACCCUAGCGUCAUCGAACCUUAAGUGUGUAGACCCUAUGGGUUCGGGAGACAUGCAGACAUGACCGAGACGUUCUCCGGUCAAUAACCAACAGCGGGAUCUGGAUACCCAUGUUGGCUCCCACAUGUUCCACGAUGAUCUCAUCGGAUGAACCACGAUGUCAAGGACUCAAUCGAUCCCGUAUACAAUUCCCUUUGUCUAGCGGUAUUUUACUUGCCCGAGAUUCGAUCAUCGGUAUACCGAUACCUUGUUCAAUCUCGUUACCGGCAAGUCUCUUUACUCGUUUCCGUAACACAUCAUCCCGUGAUCAACCCCUUGGUCACAUUGUGCACAUUAUGAUGAUGUCCUACCGAGUGGGCCCAGAGAUACCUCUCCGUUUACACGGAGUGACAAAUCCCAGUCUUGAUUCGUGCCAACCCAACAGACACUUUCGGAGAUACCUGUAAUGCACCUUUAUAGCCACCCAGUUACGUUGUGACGUUUGGUACACCCAAAGCAUUCCUACGGUAUCCGGGAGUUGCACAAUCUCAUGGUCUAAGGAAAAGAUACUUGACAUUAGAAAAGCUUUAGCAUACGAACUACACGAUCUUUGUGCUAGGCUUAGGAUUGGGUCUUGUCCAUCACAUCAUUCUCCUAAUGAUGUGAUCCCGCCAUCAAUGACAUCCAAUGUCCAUGGUCAGGAAACCGUGACCAUCUAUUGAUUAACGAGCUAGUCAACUAGAGGCUCACUAGGGACAUGGUGUUGUCUAUGUAUCCACACAUGUAUCUGAGUUUCCUAUUAAUACAAUUAUAGCAUGGAUAAUAAACGAUUAUCAUGAACAAGGAAAUAUGAUAAUAACACUUUUAUUAUUGCCUCUAGGGCAUAUUCCAACACUUUAUAGUCAGUAAAUGAAUCUGGCAGGUUAUUUGCAAUGUGUUGCAAAUUAAUUAUUUUCCGAACUUGAAGUUCAGUUUCUUGAGUACGUGGAUCGGAGGAGGAAAUGCCUUGGGCAUUCCAAUCGAUUUCCGAGCAUUCUUUUUCGUACUUGAUUGAAGGAAAUAUGCCCUAGAGGCAAUAAUAAAGUUAUUAUUUAUUUCCUUAUAUCAUGAUAAAUGUUUAUUAUUCAUGCUAGAAUUGUAUUAACCGGAAACAUAAUACAUGUGUGAAUACAUAGACAAACGGAGUGUCACUAGUAUGCCUCUACUUGACUAGCUCGUUAAUCAAAGAUGGUUAUGUUUCCUAACCAUGAACAAAGAGUUGUUAUUUGAUUAACGGGAUCACAUCAUUAGGUGAAUGAUCUGAUUGACAUGACCCAUUCCAUUAGCUUAGCACCCGAUCGUUUAGUAUGUUGCUAUUGCUUUCUUCAUAACUUAUACAUGUUCCUAUGACUAUGAGAUUAUGCAACUUCCGUUUGCCGGAGGAACACUUUGUGUGCUACCAAACGUCACAACGUAAAUGGGUGAUUAUAAAGGUACUCUACAGGUGUCUCCAAAGGUACAUGUUGGGUUGGCGUAUUUCGAGAUUAGGAUUUGUCACUCCGAUUGUCGGAGAGGUAUCUCUGGGCCCUCUCGGUAAUGCACAUCACAUAAGCCUUUCAAGCAUUGCAACUAAUGAGUUAGUUGCGAGAUGAUGUAUUACGGAACGAGUAAAGAGACUUGCUGGUAACGAGAUUGAACUAGGUAUUGAGAUACCGACGAUCGAAUCUCGGGCAAGUAACAUACCAAUGACAAAGGGAACAACAUAUGUUGUUAUGCGGUCUGACCGAUAAAGAUCUUCGUAGAAUAUGUAGGAGCCAAUAUGAGCAUCCAGGUUCUGCUAUUGGUUAUUGACCGGAGACGUGUCUCGGUCAUGUCUACAUUGUUCUCGAACCCGUAGGGUCCGCACGCUUAGUGUUUCGAUGACAGUUAUAUUAUGAGUUUAUGAGUUUUGAUGUACCGAAGUUAGUUCGGAGUCCCGGAUGUGAUCACGGACAUGACAAGGAGUCUCGAAAUGGUCGAGACAUAAAGAUUGAUAUAUUGGACGGCUAUAUUCGGACACCAGAAGUGUUCCGGGUGAUUUCAGAGAAAACCGGAGNNNNNNNNNNNNNNNNNNNNNNNNNNNNNNNNNNNNNNNNNNNNNNNNNNNNNNNNNNNNNNNNNNNNNNNNNNNNNNNNNNNNNNNNNNNNNNNNNNNNNNNNNNNNNNNNNNNNNNNNNNNNNNNNNNNNNNNNNNNNNNNNNNNNNNNNNNNNNNNNNNNNNNNNNNNNNNNNNNNNNNNNNNNNNNNNNNNNNNNNNNNNNNNNNNNNNNNNNNNNNNNNNNNNNNNNNNNNNNNNNNNNNNNNNAGAGAGGGGCAGCCAAAGGUGGGCCACGUGCCUCCUCCCCCUGGUCCGAAUUGGACUAGGAGAGGGGGGGGCGGCGCCCCCCUUUCCUUCUCCCUCCCCACUUCUUUCCCCCUCCUAGUAGGAGUCCUACUCUUACUAGGAGGAGGACUCCUCCUUGGCGCGCCAUAGGGGUCGGCCGGCCUCCUCCCCUUGAUCCUUUAUAUACGGGGACAGGGGGCACCCCUAGACAUAAGUUGAUCCACGUGAUCAUAUUCUUAGCCGUGUGUGGUGCCCCCUUUCACCAUAAUCCUCGAUAAUAUUGUAGCGGUGCUUAGGCGAAGCCCUGCGAUGAUAGUACAUCAAGAUCGUCACCACGCCGUCGUGCUGACGGAACUCUUCCCCGACACUUUGCUGGAUCGGAUUCCGGGGAUCGUCAUCGAGUUGAACGUGUGCUAAAACUCGGAGGUGCCGUAGUUUCGGUGCUUGAUCGGUCGGGCCGUGAAGACGUACGACUACAUCAACCGCGUUGUGCUAACGCUUCCGCUGUCGGUCUACAAGGGUACGUAGAUCACACUCUCCCCUCUCGUUGCUAUGCAUCACCAUGAUCUUGCGUGUGCGUAGGAAAUUUUUUGAAAUUACUACGUUCCCCAACAUUGAUGUCUCCCCCUAAUGUCGGGAAAUGGUCCUCAUUGAAGAUGCAGUCAGCGUGACGGGCUAUGAACAGAUCCCCGUGAGGGGUUCAAGGUACUUGAUUAUCGACGGUGAUUUGUACCCCACAUAGAUCCCCAAUUUUCUGUGUGGGCCCAUGGAUGUACGCUGCGGUGGUGAGAUUGGCACAUAUGUGGCGCAUCCGAAUUUACGCAGAUGGGAAAUAUUUGGUAGGUUUCCACGUACUAAUUGCAGAGGGGAAGUGUUGUGAUAUGCAGUUGGUCGCAAUUGGAUUAAGUCGGCAUCGUGUAAAACUGCGUGACCCCAACAAGAAGUUGGUAAAUUGCAAUUCAUUAGUAAGGGUCGUGCAAUGAGCUUAAUUCUCUUAAUUCGAGAUUCGGCCAAUCCAUUUUGAGUGUGGACAUAUGGGACCGAGUGCUGAAUUUCAAUGCCUAAUGCCAUGCAAUAAUCAUUGAAAGCAUGUGAAGAGAAUUCAGCAGCGUUGCCCAUUCGAAUUGAUUUAAUUCGAUUCUCAGGAUAAUGAGCUUGCAAUUUGAUAACUUGUCUCAUUAUUUUGGCAAAUGCAUGGUUUCGUGUAGAUAGUAAACACACAUGAGACCAUCGUGUAGAUGCAUCUAUUAGAACCAUGAAAUACCUAAAAGGUCCAGACAAUGGUUGGAUCGGACCACAAAUAUCACCUUGAAUUCGUUCAAGGAAUUGUAGUGGUUCUGCUUGAAUUUUAAGAUAUGAGGGUCUUAAAAUGAGUUUCCCAGUAGCACAUGCAGUGCACAUAAAAUCUGAAGAUUGUGGGAAUUUGGCUUCAUUUAAGUCAUGACCAUUGGAAUUGCGAAUAAUUUUCCUCAUCAUCCCUAUACCAGGAUGACCAAGGCGAUCAUGCCAAGUUUGGAAUGCAUUUACAUUCUGAAAAAUUGCCUUAUACGCAAUGUGUUCUACGGGUUUUAUGUACGUGUAGUAUAAUCCUGAUGAUAAAGAGGGAAUUUUCUCAAAUAUAUGUUUGCCAUAUCCGUUGUCUUUGGUAAAGAGGAGAUAUUCCUCUUUGUUAUCUUUAUAAGUUUCAAUGUGGAAAUCAUUUUUGCGGAUAUCUCUAUAACCUAUGAGGGUACGAGUUGAAUCGGGAUACAAUAAAGCAUCCUCACUUACAAUUUGUGUACCCAUAGGGAGGGUAAAUAUGGCACGUCCUUUGCCAACAAUUACCGCAUCGCGUCCAGCGAUUGUUAAAAUAUCUCCAUUCAAUUUUGUAAGAGUUUGGAAAUACUUUAUUUCCCUAAGUAUAGAGUUUGUGGUGCCACUGUCCACAAGGAACAUUUCUUCCUCCAUUGGAUUGACUCCCGUAGAAAUCUAUAUAUUAAAAAUGUGGAAUUUUCAGUUUAAUGAAAAACACUUUAUUGGAUAUAUAGAAUACAUACAAAUUUUAUUGAUAUCAAAGUGCUGAUACAAUAUAUAUUGUGUUUUUACAAUAUAGAAUGAUGACAAUAACAAUAAUAAUAUGUUUUUAUUACAACAAUCUGAUGGAUGUAAACAAAUAAAAUAUCUAAAUGGAGUCAAUUGACUAGUCAAAGUCCCCGAACAUGUCGGCGGCGUAUUCGGUCAUCAUAUUCUCCGUGUCCAUGGAGUCCUGUGAUAUAUGGAAUUCCUUGUUGUUACUUGGUGCUCCUCGAACAUCUUGCGAACAACCAGCUUCCUAGUUGUUAUCAGGUUGAAGAUUGAAGUGAGCUUCAUAUCUUUCUCCUUGGGCUGGUCUGUUACGUCCCAUGGAUUGCAGGUAGAGGUUUACUAGAUGUCUUGGGGUGCGGCAUUUUUUGGUGACAUGCUUGUAGCAUCCACAUUUCUGGCAAAGUUUAGUUUUAUCAAACUUAUUCUUUGUUAUGCCCUUCCCCUUGUCUGAAUUUUGUGGCUUGUUCUUCUUGUUGUGGUUGCUCUUACCCUUGAAGUUCUUGUUUUGGCCUUUGAAAGAACCAUUGAACUUGGUAUUUUUCUGAAAAUUUGCAUGUACUUUAGGCAGAGGAGCCGCCCCAACUGGGCGUUGAUUACUAUUCUUUAGCAGAAGUUCAUCGUGUUUCUCAGCCUGGAGGAGCACAUGUAUAAGUUCAGAGUAAACUAUAUAAUUGCGGACACGAUAUUGUUGCUGUAGGAUCCUGUCGGCUGGGAGCAUAGUGGAUAGAGUCUUUUCUAUCUUAUCUGCUUCUGUAGGCUCCUUCUCGCAAAACCGCAACUUUGAGCAAAUUUUAUGAACCUCAUGAUUAUAAGCUCCGAUCGAUUUGAAAUCUUGGAGUCUUAAAUGGGUCCACUCAUGACUAGCUUCAGGAAGUAUAACUGCCUUUUGCUGUUCAUAUCUAGUCUUAAGUGAUUGCCACAUAUUGCUUGGAGAUUCCUCCAUCAAAUAUUUAGAUUUCGGAUCUGGAUGGAUAUGGUGCCUUAUUAUGUAUAAAGCAGCAUAUUAUUGUUGUUCGUUUAAUUGUGCAAUUCCCUCUUGGGGAGGGUCUGCAGGAGGUAUGAGUGCAGCUACAAUUCCACGGGAUGAAAGACUGAUUUUAACAUCCAUAGCCCAUGUAGGAUAGUUGUGUCCGUCGAGCGCAAGCUCUUCAAAUUCUUUGACGGUCAUUUUGUCCUACAAGAUUGAGAACCAGAUAAUCGAUCAAUUCACUUGUAUGUAAAUUAAAAUCAUCAUGGUCAUGUUGUAAUAAAUUUUGCAAUUGUUGUGAAUUCAAGUAAAGACUUGAACUUUGUUUAAAUUAUAUUCGAAUUAAGUCUAUUUUUGUGCUACAUAGGCAUUUUUGGACUUAAUUAAUGGCGAAUUAAUAUUUGAGUUGCAAGAAUAAAUGAUUUUCAAUUGCAAAAUAAUAUUAUUGUACCAUUUGUACAUGUUAUAGGGAUUUCAAAUUGCAAACACAUUGAACAUAUAACGAUUUACAGAAAUAAUAUGGUCUAAACAUCAAUACACAAUUUAAUUGAGUACAAUAUAUAAUCACAUCAAGAUACAAGGUCUAAAACAUGACAAGUACUUAAUUACAUCACUAGUAGUUGAACCUAUCUGCGAAUUCCCAAAUUUACGGGGCUAAAACAUGACAAGCACUAAAUUAAUACUAGUAGUUGGACUAAUGCACGAAAUCCCGAUAAUAUAAGGAUUUUUUUGCAAUCUAGCCUAUAACCCGUUGGGUUUUUUUUCUGGUCGUUGCAACAUGGGCCACAGCCCACGAGGCCUUUCGGCUGAGGCCCAUGGCAGCGCCGCUGAUGGAGACAUCGAGCGGAUAAGGGGGACGGGAGGUGGGGCGGUUGGGGUCAAUUCCCCCCAUUCCACCGCCACCUCCACGGGAUCCCGUCGGCCGCCGCCAAUGGCGCCCAGCGCCGGCGAUCUUCAGGAGGAGGCCCCCCCCCCCCCGCAGCGUAGCCGGGGAGGUGGAGGCCUGCAGGGGCCCAGAAGUCGGAGCGGAGGCCGGGGCGGUGCUGCUCCAGCGCUGCCGCGAAACGGCGAAGGAUCCGGCGAGCCGCCGGUGGGGGCGUUCGCGGGCUUGCCGGGGGCGGAGGCGGCGGAGAUGUUGGGGCCUUGGAAGACGACGCCGCUUCCUCGAUCUUCCUGCCGGUGGCAGUGUUGAGGUCGGGGAUGGUGGCUCCGGGUUCGUCGGUCUCCGCCGGCGUGGUUGACUCCGGCUUCACAACGGAGUUGAGCCACUGCUCCUCCUCUUCGUUCGGUGUCACCUCCCACUCCAUCAUGGUGGGCACAGGGCCAUAGCCUGGAGGGGCGAAGUGCUCCUCGUCUUCGUCGGCGGGCGUUGGCGUUGGGAGGUCCGGGUAGGCGAGCGGCUCAUCGAUGACCUCCGGUUCCGGUGGUGGAGUGGCCGGCGGUGAAGGGCAUGGCCCGUACCCGUGCACGGGGCAGAAAUCGCGGGCAGGGCAAGGGCCGUAUCCGUGCACCGGACAAAAGGCCACGCCUGCAUCCAUGCCAUUGCCGAAUAAGACCCCCGGCGGUGGCGGGGCCUGGGCGGCGUCGAAGAACUCCUCGCCCAGGAACGGGGCUGCAGCCUCGGCGGGAGCCCAGUCCAUUGGCGGAGCGACGAAGGCCGGCAUCGGGGGUGCCUGGUAGGCGUGGUGGACGGCGGCAGAUGAGUUGCUUGGUCCUGCCUGUUCUGCGGCGGCGGGGCCAGGGUGCUCCUGACGACCACGGCGACCACGACGACCGUUGCCUGGGCCCCAAUGGCGAGGAGCACCAGCACUGUGGCGUCUGGUAGAUCGACGGAUCUCCCGUCCAAUGAAUCGAAUAAGGGCAGAGGUGAUUCUAUGCAGGUUCAUCCCUGCCAUCUUACCUUCUCGUCUCUUCUUGUUCGUGCUCUGUUGGUCGAGGCUAGCGUGGCUGAUAACGUGUAAAGAUUUGAUGAAAAACUUGUAUUUUAUUGAUUCUAGGCAAAGCCCUAUUUAUACAAGAAUUUGGGGCGCCUCCGGAGAGGCGUCCAUUUACAACACGCGCCCGUGGCACGAGAAGACGCUCCAUACGGCGCUUUGGACACACGUGACGACUCUUAGUGCUAAUGACGUCGCUUUAUUCUUAACACAAGUAACAUCCCAUAAGGCCAUAAUAGUCAGGCACGGGAACACGGAAAACUGCACGAUCAAAAGGACACCCGUGGAGCAGGGAGAAGCACAGCGGUCGUUUGUGAAGAUGGGUUGAAGAGGGCUAAGGAUGUCACUGACGCGAGCGAGUGAUUCUCGUGGGUAUUGCAUGGCCCAUGGGAGCCAAUUUCAUGGAUCAAAGUAGAUCUUAUGCGCCACCCAUUUAGCAAAGCCACAAUCAAAAUAGCAAGCAAACUGCAGGUUAGUUGACACAGAAGCUACAACAGCGUGUCAAGUUUUUUUGACACAUGAUUGAAACAAGCAACAACAAGACGCAAAAGUAAAUCCAUAGCAAACGAAGUGUAAUAAUAGAUGGCAACCACUUGAUUCAAAGCCGGGAAAGGGUCAUUUUCUAAACAUGCAACACAAUAUCUCUCAAAAUCUAUAAAUCCACAAGAUCUGACUUAACAUCAUAAACGGAGUAGUACAGAACAAGUUGCAAGACACAGGAUAUCGAUAGCUUGGUAUUGUUCCAUCCUUGAACGAGCAUGGAAUUACAGCCUCCUUCCUCUUCUACCACCCUUCCGGCGGGUGCUGUCAGUUGGGACCGGGGUAACAUCCUCUGCUCAACACAAAAAGAACAUCAUGGAUUAAUCCGCUGUAUGACAUCAUAAACUAAAGUGGAAAAUAAAACAUCCUCUGCUCAACACAAAAUAAACAUCAUGGAUAUCUGUCAGGACCCUGCCUGAAGAUAACAACAGCGGCAGCUUCUUCAGUUAACUCAGCGUAACGCUUCAUGAGGAUGAUUCAAACUGGACCAACCAAUCGCCAUCCAGUGCACCCAAACCCUCGUACCGCUUCGCGCACUGGCGGGAUGAUCUGGAGCGUGGAUUGUUGAUCGGACGGUGGCCGCUACUUCAGCUGUCACUGUUACCUUUCCGGCAACUCCACUUACUCUGUUAUUUCCUCUGUUUACUUUUACUCAUGUAAUGGCUAUAAAGCCAGGAUCGAGAGGCUGGGAGAGGCAUCGAGUAAUUGUAUUAGGGUUUCCCCCUAGCCGCCGUGUUCCGGCUGGCAAAUCUGUUCCUCUUGCUGUAAGAAACCCUAAGUUAAUACCACCCAAUUUCACCCCCCUGUUCUUGAUGUUUUCUGAAAUUGCGAGUAGCUAGAGUCCCCCCAUAGCUCGGGCCUUACAAUAUCAUAAACUAAACUGGAAAAUGUAAGGUUCAAAUCACGGUAACUGGCAUCCAAGGCAAAAUUAAUCAACAUUGAUCAUAACAUAAACAUAGUAUGCAGAAAGGACAAGCAAAACAUCAGUCCAUAUCAAAACCAAGCCAGCCAUGUGACCAGACGAUUUCAAGAACUAUUGACUGCCAGACAAAAUAAGAAGACAAGCCUUGCAACUGCAAUGUAUGGCAGAAUAGUUUUUUCCCAGAAGCAAAUGAGAUGAAAUGACACGGCACAGCAUACACAAGGGCACCACAGGCUUACC
rnacentral:lncRNA from 1 species